rnacentral:misc_RNA from 1 species
GCAAACUUGGUCAUUUAGAGGAAGUAAAAGUCGUAACAAGGUUUCCGUAGGUGAACCUGCGGAAGGAUCAUUAAUGUGUUUGAGCUUCGGCUCUUCAUCCAGACGCUGUGCGCCUUCGGGCCGCACGCUGACGGAGCAUAUAUCCACCCCUGUGCACACACACGGUGACGAGCUGGAUAACGGCUCGCCGCUGAUUUUUACACACGUCUAAAAGUCUUGUAUGUUUUAUUGUAUAAAAAAACAACUUUCAGCAACGGAUCUCUUGGCUCUCGCAUCGAUGAAGAACGCAGC